rnacentral:lncRNA from 1 species
GCCUUUUGGUGAUGGACAAGCAAUACACUGAUCAUCUUGGCAUAGCCCAAAGUUACCACACUUUUCUGGUAAUUGGCAUUGUGUUUCCCAAGAGUCUUUGGAAAACAAAGUAUAGGUCACUUGCCAUGCACUCCAAUCUGCAUUAUCUUCGUAAGUGAGUAUUCUAAGGUUUCCAUCUAUUUCCAACCGAAGAUAAGACAAUGUAGUGUUGUAUUUAGGCCUUCUAAGAGUGAGAGUUCCACCGGAAGAGGACGUAGGACCCUGGUAUUCUAAAGAUAAACCUGAGGUAAAUGUUACAUUAUUCAAAGGGCCCUCCAAUACACUUAAAAGUUCAGAAAAUGAGAAGUAAAGCAAAGAUUUUGGGGAAUUUGGAGAUUUGUAGUACAUGACUAAGGUCUUGUCCUCCAUGACCAAACUAUAAGCACCAUUGGCGUUCUGUUCGUAAGAAGCACGACUCACAAGCUUGGUUGCAGCCCCUAGCUUUAGAGAUUGACCCACUAAAAUGGUAUCAGUUGGGUGAUCAAAACUCUGCCAUAUAAACCGACCCUUAGAGUCAUGAAGAACCAUGUUACCAUUUGAGAGUAACUUGAACCCAACAACGCCUUUAUUGGCAGUGUUGGUUUGCCAAGCAAUCCGGCCAUCAGCAUCGGCCAAAACAAGGUUUCCAUCAGUUCCAAAUGUGAGGGUGGCAUUUUCACCAACUGGGUUGCCACGGUUGGCUUCCCAGACCCAACGCAUAAGUGACCUAGAACUCACUGUACCCAUGCGCAGAGCAAGAGUAUAUGCAUUAGGAGUGGUGUUAUAAAAGCAAAGUUGAAAGGGCUGGGCAAACGGGUCUAAGACUCGGUAAUCGGGACCAUACUCCACAACAUAAUCCCCAAAUUCACCUUCAUUAACAUACUUGAAGGUUGCAGAAGGAGGAACAGAGGCUUGAGCGAUGGCGAAGGAUAAGCAAAGAGAGAGCAAUAGUUGGUGAAGAGAAAACAUUUUGGUUUGCUUGCUAGUUUUUGGGUUUGGUUGGUAUAUAAAAUCAAGGUAGAGAUGUACCCUUUUAUAGGAGAAAUGGAGGAGGAGGUUUUAGCCGGUCAAAUUGACUUGCAAGUUGAACGUGGUGGGACGGUGGUGGGCUUCAUUUAAUUUUAUAUCAUAGAUUUCUCAUAUUUCCGGAAAAAAAGAAAAUCCGGCUGAGUAAUUCUUUUGUCUAAAUUUUGAAUUUUUUUGUUUAAUUAUUUAAAUUCAUUUAUUUUAAUUUAAAUAUUAGUAAAAUAUUUAAUUAUUGCUGUUGCAUGAUGAAUAAGAACAAAGUAUUAUUUUUCUCCUGUCUCUGUUAAUUGUAAUUUAAUAUUAAUUAGUUAUUAUUUUUAUUAUAUAUAAAAAAUUAUAAUUAUCCCCUCUCUUUUCUCCUCGCUCCCACUUGCACCAACCCCUCCCUUUCUCAUCAUUAAUGAGACACAACCACCUGGACCAAUGCAAUUGGACAAAUUGCCAACCAGCUAGCAUGGCGAGCCAAUAGUAUUCAAUUUAAAUAAAAACAUUAAUUAAAUUUAAUUUUUACUUUUUCAAUUUUAUUUUAAAAAUUUUAAUUAUUUCAAUUUAAUUUAAUUUUCAUAAAAAAUUAAUAAAAUUUAACUGAACUUAUUAAUAAAUAAUAAUAUAUUACUUUUAAUGAUUUAAAAAAAUUAAAUCAUAAUUAAAAUUAAAAUAUUUUAAUUAAAUUUUAAAAUAUUAAAAAUAAUAUAUUAAAAAAUUUAAUCGAUUAAAUUAAAUAAAAUUAAAUCAAUUCAAUAUAAAUUAAUUUUCAUUUAAAAUUAUUUUAAUUCAACUUUUACUAUACUAAAAUUUGAUUUUUCACUUAAUUCAGUUGAAUUCACGGAAUGCUUACUCUUAUAUUGCUGAGCAGCUGACGAACAAGCAGUGGUCGCUCAUUGAAAAUCAGUAUUGUGAUGGUAGAUAAUGGUGACUUUUUAAUUUGAUAAAAAAAAAAUAAAAGUUUGAGUGAUUAAACUUAAAAUAUAUUAAAAAGUAAAAUUUUUAAUUAAAAAAAUGGCAAUUGACACAGAUGCAAUUAGAAAAAAAAUAAUGUUUACACUUAUAUAUAUAAUCAUGAAUAAAAAAGUUAAUUUUUUUAGCAUAAAUUAAUUUUAAUAAAAAAAAUUUAUUAUUUAAUUUUAAUAUAAUAAAAAAAUUUAUUAAUUAGUCUUUUAAUUUUAAAAAAUAUAUUAAAAUAUCUAUAAAUUUUUAUUUUAUUAUUUUUAAUAAUUAAUUAUUUUAUUAUUUAAUUUAUAUAGUAUAAAAAAAUUUAAUAAUUGAUAUUUCAAUUUUAUAAAUAUAUUUACUAAUUAAUUUUUAUUAUUUUAAAUAUUUUAAUAAAUACUUAAUAAGAGACUAAUUAAUAUAUUUUAAAAAUAUUUUAACAUAUUUUUUAAAAUUAAAAAAUUAAUUAAUAAAAUUAAAUAGUACUUUUUUCUUUUAAUAAUAUGUAAAUAAGUUUAUAUAUUUUUAUCAGGGAGAGAGCUCAAUUUUGUUCUUAAGCUUUUAGCCACAUAUAAAUCUAAAUAAAUUUAUUAUUUAGAAAAAUAUGAGUUAAUAUUUUAACUUUUUUAUUAAUAAAAUAUUAAAUUGAAAAUUUAAAAUAUUUUAAGGUCAAUUUACAAAUUUAGUAAAAUAAUAAUUGGGAAAAAUUAUUAAUAAAUUGAACAUGAAACCACAAAUAAUAAAAGAAUAAAAAUAAAAUUUUAGAACUCAGUAGUUGACUUGUUCCGUUAUAAACGGCCGACGAUGCAUCGACCAGGGUUGUAAAGCACACAAUGGAUAGAAUAAAAAACGAGAAGCAGUAAUUCACCAAAAUAAAAAAUACUUCAUUCCUCCUCAAAAAUGUAAAUUUUAUUUUAUUUUUACAUGAAUAAAUAAUUAUUAUAUAAUUAAAAUAAUAAAUUUGAUUUACAAUUUUUAAUAUACCUCAGCAUAUAUUAUUUUAUUAAAAUUAAAUAAUUUUUACUAUAAAAUGCUAUUAUUGAAGUUUUUAUUUUUAAAAUUUUUAAAGUAAAAUAAAACUUAUAAAUAAUAAAUUUCGACAUAAAUUUGGUCAAACAAAGAGGGCAGUCUUCGUUGACCAAAGAAAACAAGCAUCACUGUACGUGGACAAUUGGACUAGGGAUGUAAACGGGUAAGGUACCUGCAAAAUUGAGAGUAUCCAAUCCGAUUAUAUAUAUAAUUUUUGAAUCCGUUUUAAAUCCAUUUAAUAUUUUAAUUUUAUUAUCUGAACCCGUCCCAAAUCCAUUUAAUAAUACCUGUAUAAUACCGGAAUCCGAUUUUUUAAAUUUAAUUCAAUGACAAGAGAAAUGUUCAAUGACAAGAACAACAACUCAACAACCCAGCAAAUAAUAAUUUAUAACCAGAUAAUCAAAUUAAUUGUUCAUAAAUUCUAAAAAUCAACAGUAUUACAUUAAUCAAAUAGCAAAUAAUUAAAUUUUUUAAAAGUAUCUAAAUAAUCAAUUCAAUGAUAAAAAUUACCAAAUAAACUAGAAGGAGAAAUGUUCAAUGACAAGAAACAGCAACUCAGCAAACUCAACAAACCCAACAGUAGAAAGUUCCAGUCAAAAAAUUUGAUUGCAAACCUGAAGAAAGUUCCAGUUAAAGGAGAUGUCGCCGACAACAAUUGGGGAGAGGCAAGGGUCCAGCAUAAGUGAAGUGGGGGAAAGAAGCGUCAAUUGAAAAGAGUACAUGUCACCGACCGGAAGAGAGAAGGAGAUAUCGCCGAUGCCGACCGGGGAGAGGGAAGAGUUGUCUCCGACUGGGAAGUGGGAGAUGCCGCCGCUGGAGAGAGAAGGAGAUAUCACUAACUGGGGAGAGAGAAGAUUUAUCGUCAUUGUCGACUGGGGAGAGAAAGGAGACGUCGCCGGUGCCAACUGUCGACACUCGUCAGUGAAGUGGGGGAGAGAGGCCUUGUCUGGGAAGUGGGAGAUGUCGCCGACUGGAGAGAGAGAAGGAGAUAUCGCACUGUAAAGAGAGAAGAUUUAUCGAGGAGAGAAAGGAGACGUUGCCGGUGCCGAUUGGGCUGCCGGCAGUCGUCAUGAAGUGGGGGAGAGGCGUCGACGAAGAGAGAAAAGGGAAGCGAGGGAGAGAGGCGCGCCAACGGAGAGAGGAAAGAAAGAGUAAAAUGAAAAAGGAAAUUAGGGUUAGUUUUGUUAAUAUAGGUAAUCGGGUUUGGGUAAUGGGUAUACGAUCACCUAACCCCGAACCCUACCCGAAUCCGAAACGGGUAAAAUUUUUCAAAUCCGAAUCCGUCCAAAUCUGUUUUGUAAAAAUCCAAAUCUGUCUUAAUAGGAUUUGGGCGGAUCGGGUACCCAUAAAAACCUGACCGCCUGACAUCUCUAAACUGGACAUGGAGACCACCGUCUGAUCCUCAUAAACUCUCUGUCUUUUGUCGUACAAAAAACCGUACGUUUAUUAAUACUAUUUGACAAUUAAUAUUUUUUAAAACAAUUAUUAUUUAAUUUUAUAAUAUAAAAAAAAUUACUAAAAAAUCUAUUAAUUAAUUUUUUUUAUUAAUUUUAAUUAUUAAAAUUUUACAAAAAAUUUAAAAUAUCUGCAUAAAUUAAUUUUUAAAUUUUUAAAAAUACAUAAAUUAAUUAAUAAUUUUUUUAAAAUUAUAAAAUUAAAUAAUAAAAUUAAAAAGUUAUUAUUUAAUUUUUAAAUAUUAUUAUUAUUAAAUUUCUCAUCUGAGUCGAUACUCUCACCUUUUCUUUCUCCUUAAAUUUCAUUUAUAUUUUUUCUUUUUCUAUGGAAGACGAUCUACAUCAAUUGACUAUCGAUAAAAAAGAAAAUAUUAUUAUUCCUAUUAAGGGUUAUAUAAAUAUUUCGAUCGUCACUUAUAAUUUUUAUAUGACAGAUAUAUUUUUCACAUACAAUCUAAUUAAUUUUGAGAAUAUAUAAAUUUUUUUGGUAAAUUUAUAGCGGUAAUCCUCGAACAGUUAAUAUAUCGAAGGAUUUGGUUACUAGUUACAAAUCAAACAUUUUAUUUUUGAUAGAAAUAAAAACUCUUAGUUCUCUUAUGAAAUUUUUUCAUAAAUUUUUACAUUUUGAUGAUUAUUUCUCAGUUAAUAAACAAGAAUUGGGAGGAGAUCUUUCGUUGAUAUGUAAGAGUCGUGUGUUUAUUUCUGUAGUUGAUUUUUCUUCAAAUUUUAUUGAUUCGGUUGUUUCAGAAGGUAAUGUUUAAUGACAGUUUACUAGUUAUUAUAAGUUUCUAAAAUCGCAAUAACAAGGUAAGUUAUUGAACCUUAUUCGAAUUUUAUUUCAUAGAAACUCUCUUAUGUGGUUUUGUUUGGUAGACCUUAAUAAUUUAUACUCGAGAGAUGAGAAAAAAGUAGGAAUAUCUUUAUCAAAUUAUGGGGGUUUAGAUAGACAAUUGAGCAAUAUUUUUCCUAAAUUAUCUGGGCUUGAUUUUGAAUGAUUAUUUAUUUUUGUUAUACUCUAAAACUGAUAUUUCUGUUAAAUAGAUUCGUAAUAAUAAUACUCUAACUACUAGGGGUGAGCAGUAUUCGGUUUAAACCGAAAUAACCGACCGAACCGAUUAAUUUCAAAAUUUUGGUUCGGUUUUAUUUUUUUUCCGGUUCGGUUCGGUUUGAAAUUUUUAAAAAAUCGGUGAUUUCGGUUCGGUUCGGUUUUAGACGUAAAAUUUUCGAUUAGACCGAACCGAACCGAAAUCAACUAUACUACGUCGUUUUAAUAGUUUCCUAUUCCCUAAUUCCCUAUUUCCCUUCCCUUCCCUUCCCUGCCCUAAAUCUAAAACAAAUUUCUAUCUCUUCGUGCGUGCCACCAAGGCUCCUCUCAUCUCUAUGCUCUGCUCCAUCUGCUCCAUCUCUCAUCUCCAUCUGCUCCAUCUCUCUCUCUGUGCUCUGCUCCAUCUCUCAUCUCGCCACGAGAUUCUCGCGCCUGUGCCUCCACUCUCCUCUCGAUUGGACUGAUUCACCAUCGGCGUCGGCCGUUGCUCUCUAUCGGCUCUCCACGCGUCGUCGGGCAGUCAACAAUCUCUCAUCUCUAUGCUCUGCUCCAUCUCUCAUCUCGCCGCGAGAUUCUCGCACCUGUGCCUCCACUCUCCUCUCAACUGAACUGAUUCACCAUCGGCAUCGGUCGUUGUACUCUAUCGGCUCUCCACGCGUCGUCGGACAGUCGGCAAGUGCUUAUUCCACAGCCCUCAGUCAGUAAGUGUUAUUUUGGCAAGUGUUAUUUGCUGUUGAUUGUUGAAUUUGUGUGUUGAAUUUGUGUGCUGUGAUUGUUCUUUUUACUCUUUUUAGAUUUAAUUUUAGAACACUAAAAAUCAAUCUAAAAAGAGUAAAAAGAAUAAUGAAAAGUUUGAAAAUCGGUUUAACGGAUCGAACCGACUGAACCGAAUCGAACUGAACCAAAUCGGUUUGAUUCAGUUAUCUCUCUUAUUCGGUUCGGUUCGAUUUAUGUAAAAUACUGCAAUUCGAUUUUUAGUUAUUUCGGUUCGGUUUGAUUUUGAACCGAACCGACCGAAUGCUCAUCCUUACUAACUACUCAUAUUUUACCUACAUAAUUUAUCUCUCUCCUUGAAAUGAUAUCUUUCAUUAUUUAAUAAAAUUUUAAUAAUACAAUCAGCUUUAUUUUAAAAAAAAUUAAAUAAUAAAAUUUUUAACUAUAAAAUUAAUAAAAAAAUAAUUAACAAAAUUUUGGGUUAACUGUCAAAAUUCAUACUCCAUUUAAGCUAUUAUAACAUAUAUAUAUAUAAUAAUUUAAAAUAAAUUAAAUGUAUUAAAUUUUAUUUUUCCAUAAAUUAUAAAUAUAAUUUAUUAUUACUAAUUGAAUAUGAAAACUCAGCUGGUGAGGUGGCAGUCAUAUUCAUAUAAAGAUUUUCCUCAGGGACACAUUGUGGUGGGGCCAUCUUAAUGUCUUAUCCCCAAAUUAUUGGCGGAGGCGGCUAAAGGAUUUUCAUGCAUCCUUAUCCUCGAGAAUGCAUUAUCUGUCCUGGAAAGAUGGUUUUAACCUAUUCUUUUUUUUUUUUUUUUGAAAAAAAAAAAAUAAAAAGCAAUCUCAAAUUUUUUCCCCCUCAAAUUUUAAUGAUUAUAUUUAAUUUUAUACAUUUAAAUUUUUUUUACCCGAAUUAUAAAAAUAUUUUGAUUUAGAUCAAUUUACCCAUUUUUAAUUUAAAAUAUCAAAAUACCGAUUUUAAAUUUUCAAUAGUAAAAUAUUAAUAUUACAUUUUGAUAUUAAAAUUAUUUAUUAUUAUAAUCAAUAUAAUAAAAAUAAAAAUUAAAUUUUAAUAUCAAAAUAUAAAUUAAUAUUCUAGUAUUAAAGUUGAAAAACUAAUAAUUUUUUUAAAAAAGAUAAAUUUAAUUUUAAAUCAAAAUGUUCUAAUAAAUUGAAUAAAAAAUUAAUUUUAAAUGAAAUUAAAUGAAACUAUACUAUGAUUACUAUGGCAGCCACUCUAACUAAUGAUUAAGUUAAUAUACUGAAAAAAUAGAGAAAAUAUAAUAGAUUGCUUAAAAAUUAAAUAAUAUUAUAAAAUAGUAAAUAUUUAUCUUUGUGAUUCUUUUUUUUUAUAUUAUAAGAACGUAGGGAUAAACUUGAUAUUUUUUGAUAAAUUGACGAUGAUGUGACCGACUACUUAAUAAGAGAUAUUGUUUGCUAAUGAGUGAGAAAUUUUGCGAUAACAGACGUAAUGGGAAUACGGUGCACUGUUUCUGUUUAUUGGUAACUUUGUAUUAAGUCUCGCCCUGUCGAGGGAAGGGUGAGUCUUGGAUGAUGAAUCAGGUGUUUAGGGCAUUCGGAUCUUCCAUUCUUUGCGCUGGACCAUGUUUCUCACUUAUCAUAUCAUUGUUACGUAUUCCAGUCUCGUGGUAAUAGCUCAUGACUUAUUUUAAGCGAUUGUUAUGUAGCAUCAAAGAUCCCCGUUUGUAUUCGACUCUUAAGAUUCGAAGGAGAUAGUUGUUCUCAAGGUCUGGGGCACGUGGCCUCCUGAGAUUGGUUUUUGCUGCUCACGCCAUUUCGUCCAUUUAGCCCCUCAAUGAUGAUCGCACUGCUUAUCAUGUCGUAUUUAAAAUCUGGCAUCAAAAUCGUCUUAUAAAAGCCCUUAUUCUUUCCCAAAUAUCGUUUUUGUAAUACCCGGCUAGACUCCGACGUCGGAAUUCCAACCUUUUGACGGAAUCCCCAUUGGAAUCCGGAAUCUCGGAUGUCGGAACCUCUUAGAAGGGUAAAAUAAGUUUUUCACAAAAUGAAUUUUAUGGUUUUACUUUUUGUUUUUGUAUUAAAGAAUUUUAAGAAGAAAGAAAAGAUUUUUUGAAGAAAAAUGCUUUGGAGGGGAAAAAUCAGGUUCGGCCGUUGAACCUUCAUGCUCGGCCGCCGAACAUGGUGCUGCCGCGGGAGCUCUCCUUUCGGCCCCUGAAGGUGGUCUGGCCAGCCAUCUAUAAGAGGCCUCCAGUCCGAAAAUGAGAGAGUUUCUCUCUCCAUUUUCGGGCAAAGGUGAGUUCUUGCCCUCUCAUUAUUGAUUUUGUUAUUUUUCCUUCAAAUCCUUCAAAAUAUUCAUGAGUUUUCCCUCGUUUUUGAAGAUUUGAGCUUAAAUAUGAGUUUUGAACCUUGGAGACCUCUGGAGACCGUUUGAACUCAUCUCCACUGUAAUACCCGGCUAGAUUCCGGCAUCGGAAUCCCUACCUUCGGGCGGAAUCUCCGUUGAAAUCUGGAAUUCUGAAGAUGCCAGAGUCUUCUAGAAAGGUAAAGUGUGUUUUUUAAAAUGUUUUCACAUGAUUUUAUGGUUUUAAAUGAAAAAGAAAUGAGUUUUGAAAAGAAUAGGCCAAGGAGGAAGGACCCAGGUUCGGCCGCCGAACAUGGGGCUGUUUCGGAAGUGCUUUAGGCCUCCGAAGGCUUUGAGGGCAGAAACCAGGUUCGGCCGCCGAAUCUCAAGUUCGGCUGCUGAACAUGGGAUAGUUUAGGGGGCACGUUAGGCCGCCGAAGGUGGUUGACCGGCCACCUAUAAAAGGCCCCUCAGACCGAAAGUGGGCGAGUUUUCUCUCCAUUUUUGAGCUAAGGUGAGUUCAUGUUCUCCUUUGGUCGAUUUCAUGUUCUUUCUUCAAAUCUUUCAAGUUUUAACAAGUUUUAGCUUGGGUUUUGAAGUUGUGAGCUCAAGAUCAAGUUUUGGGAGCUUGGAGACCCAAAGAGUUGUUUUCUCCCAUCUCCAAGUUAGGGAUCGCACCAACCCUCGAUCUUCAAGAGGUAAGUGUAGAUCCACGCCUUUUUCUUUGUUUUAAGCAAGUUUUAAGAAGUUUUGAUGCUUGUGUGAGGGUAGAUGUGCAUGUUUAGGUUUAUGUGGGUUUAUGCUCAAUGUAUGUUUAUAUGAUGUUUUGUUGGGAGGUUUAAGCUAGUUUAUGCCCUAUUUGCAUGAGGGAGUGUGUAUGCAUGUUUGGGAGAGAGCAUGUGAGGUUUUCAGUUGUUUUGGAAGGUUUGGAGGCUGUUUGUGCAUGAGGAGGCUGAGUUCUGCCCUUCGGGAAGAACUCAGGUUCGGCCGCCGAACCUGCCUGUGGUGGCUUGUUUUGGCUGCCGAACCCUGCCCUCGAAAGUUGGACUUUCGGCUCUGGAGGGGAGUUUCGGCCGCUGAAGGUGCCGCCGAACAUGCACGAGUUUCGGCUCUGGAACCACUUUCGGCAGCCGAAGGUGUCGCCGAAAGUGGCUGAGUUUCGGCUCUGGAGGGACUUUCGGCCGCGGAACCUGCCGCCGAAAGUGCCCUGUUCAGCCUUCUUUUGCAUGAUUUCUAUGGUUGUUUUAUGAUGUUUUAGGGGAUUUUCGGGGAAAUGUUUAGAGUCCUAUUAGAGUAUGUUUGGUCCCUCAUUUGAGUCCACCUGUGUAGGAACGGACCUGAGGAACUGAGGUGUUCGGCAGUGAGUUAGCUGCUUCAGAGUUAGUAAGCGUCAGCCAGAGGUGAGUGGAACUGAACCUUAUGUUUAAAAAUAUAAAUCAAAUGUUUUAAGCAUACUCAUGCAUCAUGAAUACCAUGUUAUGUAAUAGGUUGUUUACAUUAGAAUUCACGAAUAUGAUGCAUUGCAUAAUAUGAUGAUGAUGAUGUGGAUGAAUAUUGAAUGAUCCUCUAGCUCUCUGUACGGUACGAUAUGAUAUGAUAUGACAUGAGAUAGAUAGGCCAGACGUGGCUGUAUUGCCCUUGGCAAUAUGUUAUGAUAUGAGCUAUGCAAGAGAAGACCAGGUGAGGCUGUAUCGCCCCUGGUAUAGUCGGACGUGUUAUGAUAUGAGCUAUGUAAGAGAAGACCAAGUGAGGCCGUAUCGCCCCUGGCAUAGUUGGACGAGUUAUGAUAUGAGAUUGUGGAGGGCUAGUGGUGACAAGUUCAUCCUUAAUGUGUAUUGUUUGUGAUGUGAUGCAUUCCAUGAUGGCAUAUUUUUAUGAGUUGUUUUCACUGUUCUGCUCACUGGGCUUUAUAGCUCACCCCUCUCUCCUAACCCCAGGUUUGUAGGGACAGAGUUAGUUCAGAAGUUCAGCAGGUUAUGGCUAUGGUUAUAUUUUGUAAUAGGAUAGUAGUGGACAUGAUGUAAUGUAAAAUCAUGUAAUGAUGUAAGAGCAUGUAUUGUAAUGUAAGGAUAUGUAAUGGCAUGUCUUGGUUAGAGUUGUGCUUUGCCCUAGUUAUGUAUGGUUAAUCCUUUUGAUACAUGAUAGUAUGUUAAUGUUUAAAUGAUGAUGAUUAUGCAAACCAAGCUUAAUGUAUGAUAUGUUGACCCAACUGGAGCAUUUGAUGAGGGCUCCAGUAAGGGGUUUUAUGUUACAGCUUUUGUGCAUGCACAGGUUAAGCUUGGAAAAUGAAAGGAAAAGUUUAAAGUUUUUAUGUAUAUGUAUGGUCAUGUAUGGGAUUAACAGGUGUACAGGAUGCAUGUUAGGCUUGCUACGGGUCCCGGCGGCCUUAUGCCGAUCUGGAUUCCUAGCGCCGGUAGCGGUCCGGUUUUCGGGUCGUUACAUCCACGUUGGGGUUGCUGUCACUCCUAGAUCUCUAAGAGGUAAGCCUACAUCAUUGCUUUCCUUAUGUUUUAAAUGAGUUUUAAGAAGGGGUAAAAGGCUAAAAAUGCAUAAAAUGGGUAGAUCUAUAGUUUUUGAGUUGUGUUAGUUUUGUUGAUAAAAGUUUGCUCUUAUGAGUUUUUAUGGUUGUUUCUUUGGGAUUUAGGCUAGUUUUUGUGCCCUUAUGCUUGAUGAGUGAGUAUGCAUGUUUUGAUGAGUUGGGUGUGAGGAUUUGAGAGUUUUGGGUGGCUGAAUGCAUAGGGCAGAAUCGGGUUCUACCUAGUUGGAGAACCCAGGUUCGGCCAUCGACCCUGUAUGGGAGGCAGCCUUUUGGCCGCCUAACCUGCCCCUGAAAGCAUGGACUUUCGGAUCUGUGAAGGGGUUUCACCGCCGAACCCGCUCCUGAAAGUCCCUGACUUUCGGAUCUGUAUGGAGUUUAGGCCGCUGAACCUGCCCCCAAAAGUCCCUGACUUUCGGAUCUGUGAGGGACCUUCGGUCGCCGAACCUGCCGCUGAAAGGCCCCUGCCCAGUCUUCCUUUGCUUGUUUCCUAUGCAUGUUUUGGUAGGUUUUAGGGGGGGGGGUUUGGGAAGUUGUUUAGAGUCUUGUAAUAGUUAUGCUUGGUCCCUCAUUUGAGUCCAUUUGUGUAGGAUCGGACCAAGGAGACCGUAGAGGCCUGCAGUGAGGUAACUGCACCAGUGUUAGGCAAGCGUCAGCCAGAGGUGAGUAGAACUGAACUAUCUUUUCAAAAUAACUAAACUUUUAAGCAUGUUCAUGCAUCACGAAUGCCAUGUAUAUGUAUUAGGAUGUUGCAUUAGAAUUCACGAAUAUGAUGCAUUGCAUAAUUUAUUGUUGAUGUGGAUGGAUAUUGGAUGACCCACUAGCCCUCGAGAUGUUAUGAUAUGAUAUGAUAUGAUACGGAAAGACUAGGGCUGCCCAUUCUACGCCCCUGACACGAUGUAAGAGAAAGACCAGGGCUGCUCAUUCUAUACCCCUGGCAUUAUGGAUAUAUUAUGUUAUGUUUAAGCGAAAGUCCUGAGGGGCUCAGUUGAGGGCCGGACACAUUGGAUUAUGUAGAGGGUUACUGGUGACAAGUCCAUCUUGAUGUGAAUUGUUUGUGUUGUGACGCAUUUCAUAUGAGCAUAUGUUUAUUAAACUAUUUUUAUAUUCUACUCACUAGACUCUUGUAGCUUAUCCCUUUCUCCUAACCCCAGGUUUGCAGGGUCGAAGAUAGCUCGGGAAGCCGGCAUAGUAGCUGGUAUAGUUUAAUGUAAUAGAAUAGUUGUGGACAUGUAAAAAUUUAAUGGAUUAGUAUUGUGCUUGGCCCUAGUUUUCUUUACCUUGUAAUCCCUGUUAACAUGGUCUUUAUGUAAAAGUUUUAAUUAUGAUUUAUGUUUGAACUAAGCUUGAGGCAUGUGAUGUUAACCAUACUAGAGCAUUUGAUGAGAGCUCUAGUAUGAGUUUUAUGUUUUCAGUAUGAUACAUGCACAGAUUGAGCUUGGUUUCAUGAAAUGUUUAAGUUUUUGUUAUAAUGUAUGAUCAUAUAUGGGAUUUUAUCACGUACACAGGAUGUAUAGUAGGCUUGCUACAGGUUCUAGCGACCUUAAGUCAAUCUGAAUUCUAGCGUCGGUAGCGGUCCAAUUUCCUGGUCGUUACAGUUUUUGCUAUCUCCUGUGAUCCUUUGUUUUCAGAAAAACUCGUUCACUACUUUUUUUUUUACUUAUACUCCUUACAAUAAUUUUUGUUUCUUUUUUUUUUUCUUGGUAUGAACAAGAUUACUUCUUCCCUUUCCCUUAACAAGGUUCUACCUCUAGCUCCUCUUUCGAUAGCCCUAUCCGUACCCCAGCCUCUGUUGUUCCAUUGAGGGAGGUUCUGAAAAACGAGGUCGACCUGAUUAGUGAUACUUUAUCUGUCCUUUUGGAGCGUAAUGUAGACUGUCUCUAUGAUACCUAUUAAAUUCCUCAAAAGGUUUUCUGUGUCUUUGCUCUUUCUCUACGCAUCCGUGUGAGUGAUUUGAUUUUGCAGAGUAUACUAUUAUGGUCUUUGAGAAGCAAUUAAAGACAGGUCUUUUUUGAUUCCUUAUGGACCUAUUUUUUAUGGAUGUUCUUUGGUUUUAUAAACUUUCGAUUGCCGAACUGUAUUCUAAUAGCUGAAAAAUUCUAAUGGCUUUUCAGUUCGUUUGCCUAAAUAACCACAUCGAACCAAGUGUAACAUUUUUCUCUCAACUCUAUCAACUAGAUAUCUACAAAAGUGAAAAAUUUUGAUAUUUUAACGGACAAAACCACAUUACCUAUUUGAUAUGGUAUCCCACCUUAACGUGGAGGAAAAAUAGAUAUUUUGUCCUUUGCCACUCGACGCUAGAGGGUUUUGACCAUAUUUUACAAAAUAGAUUUUUGGUAUUUCUUAAAGUCGUUUUGUAAUUAUCUCUCAAUAUCUUAGAAAUGCAACUUUACAAUUAUAUGAUAAAAAAAAUUAUACAUGAGGUAUAUACGUAUUAUUUCAUAAAGGUAUAAUCAAUUUAAGAAGAAUAAAUUAAAAUAAAAUAAUAAAAAUUAUUUUUAUAUCGUUGACGUCGAAGAAGAAUCCAUGGAUUACGAACAAAGAAAACAAAAACCACUGUGGAUAUUAAGACCACCCUCAGAUCAUCACAAAUUCUGUCUUUUAACGUACAAAAAAUAUUAAGUUUGUCAAUAUUUGACAAUUAAGUUAUUUUUUCUUUUCAAAAAUUAUUUUUUAUAAUUUAAAAUUUUUAUUAAAACCUAUAUAUAAAUUUAUUGAUAUAUUUUAUUUUUUCACAAACAAGUGGAGUUUUAAAAUAAUUAUUAUCCAUAUUAAUAAUAUAUUAAUUAAUAAUAUAUAGUGAUUUAAAAUAAAUUUAAAAUUAUUACUAUUUGAAAAUAUUAUAAUUUUUUAUUAAAUUUUAAAAUUAAUAUUUUUAUUAAAUAAAUUUAUCAUAGUUAUUUUAAUUGUUCAUAUUUUAACUAUAAAAUUUAUUAAAUAUAAUUAACUUUCAAUUUUAAAAUGAAAUCUCUUUUUAUUUUUAUUAAAAAAAUAUUAAUAUUUUAAUAAAAUUAUUAUAUAUUUUAUUAUUAUUGAUGGAGUAUAAUUAAAGUUUUUGUUUGUAUUCAUAUAAUAAUUUUGAGGAUAGAGAUAUCACGUGGACUAUCUCAGUAUCGUUUCAGUAAAUAAUUGGUGGAGGCGUAAGGGACUUGCAUGCAUGAAUUCUUAUACUUAAUUAAGCCUGCAUAUUUGUUUUGGAAAGAUGAUUUUGACCUUUUAUUUUUAUAUAAUUAUAUAGAAAAAUAUUUAUUUUGGCUACACAGAAUCUUAUGUAACAAGUAACAUAUUAUUAAAAUCAAAUCAAUUGCAUUAAUUUAUUCGUAAAAUCCCACACCUUAACAUAAAACAAAAAACCAGCUAAAAAAUACAUAAAAUUACAAAAAAAAAAANNNNNNNNNNNNNNNNNNNNNNNNNAAAAAAAAAAACUUGUCACAUUCUUUCUUAUCAUUCCCUUUAUUGUUCAUACUUGCAUAUAAAAUCUUCAAUCCAAGCUGAAAAUACCCACCUCGAAAAUCACUUAUUUGGCGUCUUAAUGAAUGCCAAAUGUGUAGAAUUAUCAACUUUUGUUAAGGUUUUGAGAUCGUAGGCAAUCCAGCAUUUAGAUGAUUGUGUGUGGUAAAAAUAAGCCAAGCACUUGCAAUCCUUGCUGCAUUUGCUGCUACAAGCAUUCUGCUUCAUCGGUCCAUCUCCAUUUGUGUACUUGGAAUUGAAAUGAUCAACCCCUUCUAGUUUAUAGUAGUAAAAAUCUUUCACUCCACAUGAAGACAGCUUUGGUGCCUGACAAUUCUUGCUCCAGCCCAGCAAGCCUUUUGGUGAUGGACAAGCAAUACACUGAUCAUCUUGGCAUAGCCCAAAGUUACCACACUUUUCUGGUAAUUGGCAUUGUGUUUCCCAAGAGUCUUUGGAAAACAAAGUAUAGGUCACUUGCCAUGCACUCCAAUCUGCAUUAUCUUCGUAAGUGUGUAUUCUAAGGUUUCCAUCUAUUUCCAACCGAAGAUAAGACAAUGUAGUGUUGUAUUUAGGCCUUCUAAGAGUGAGAGUUCCACCGGAAGAGGACGUAGGACCCUGGUAUUCUAAAGAUAAACCUGAGAUAAAUGUUACAUGAUUCAAAGGGCCCUCCAAUACACUUAAAAGUUCAGAAAAUGAGAAGUAAAGCAAAGAUUUUGGGGAAUUUGGAGAUUUGUAGUACAUGGCUAAGGUCUUGUCCUCCAUGACCAAACUAUAAGCACCAUUGGCGUUCUGUUUUUCAGAAGCACGACUCACAAGCUUGUUUGCAGCCCCUAGCUUUAGAGAUUGACCCACUAAAAGGGUAUCAGUUGGGUGAUCAAAACUCUGCCAUAUAAACCGACCCUUAGAGUCAUGAAGAACCAUGUUACCAUUUGAGAGUAACUUGAACCCAACAACGCCUUUAUUGGCAGUGUUGGUUUGCCAAGCAAUCCGGCCAUCAGCAUCGGCCAAAACAAGGUUUCCAUCAGUUCCAAAUGUGAGGGUGGCAUUUUCACCAACUGGGUUGCCACGGUUGGCUUCCCAAACCCAACGCAUAAGUGACUCAGACCUCACUGUACCCAUGCGCAGAGCAAGAGUAUAUGCAUUAGGAGUGGUGUUAUAAAAGCAAAGUUGAAAGGGCUGGGCAAAGGGGUCUAAGACUCGGUAAUUGGCACCAUACUCCACAAUAUAAUCCCCAAAUUCACCUUCAUUGACAUACUUGAAGGUUGCAGAAGGAGGAACAGAGGCUUGAGCGAUGGCGAAGGAUAAGCAAAGUGAGAGCAAUAGUUGGUGAAGAGAAAACAUUUUGGUUUGCUUGCUAGUUUUUGGGUUUGGUUGGUAUAUAAAAUCAAGGUAGAGAUGUACUCUUUUAUAGGAGAAAUGGAGGAGGAGGUUUUAGCCGGUCAAAUUGAAUUGCAAGUUGAACGUGGUGGGCUUCAUUUAAUUUUUUUAAAAUGCCUUUCUGUUUAUGUUGAUUUUGUUUAUAUUAAUUUUAUAUGAUCUUAUCUCUAAGCUUUAAUAAAGUUAUAAAAUAAUAUUAUAUCUUCAGGUUAAGAGAAGUUAUUGUAAAAAAUAUCAUAUAAAGAUGAACAGAAUUGGGGAGCGUAUAAAGAAUCAAGACUUUUCUAGAAUCGCACAGCUUGGAUUUUCUUGGACGCAUAUAAUUAUAGAUGGCUUCCCACUCUGGUUUUGGGUCAAACACUGAGUUCUGUCCAUAUCGACGUCUUUGAAUCCAUUCUUCAAGAGCCCACAAUAAAUUUUAUUCUUUAAUAAAUAUAUUUUUUAUAAAAAUUUCACACUGAUAUCGUAUUAUAUGAAAAAUUUUAAAUAUCAAUCGUUAUACUUACAGAUAAAAGCGAAUAAUUUUAUUGAUUUAAGCUGUUUUUAUUUAUAGAAAAUAAUUUAUAUUUUAAAAAUAUUUUUUAUAAAAAUAUUUUUCAAUAAUGUUAUUAUUAUUUAAUUUUAAUUUAAACAAUAAAAUAUAUUAUUAAAUUUAUAUCACGACUAUUAAAAAAGUUUUCAAAGUUAAAACGUUUACAGGUUGAUUUAAGUAUACAUUAAAUAUAAUAAUAAUAAACUAAAACUCAUAAAAUAUUAAUUCAAGGAAAGAAAAUGAAUUAAAAUAUUUCUUUUAAACACGUAUAUAGGUCAACAUAUCACGUUACGCUCCAUAUAAUGAUUUCGCUCCGUAAAAUUGUGAUUAUAUAUAUAAUAUUUAUAUUAAAUUAAAAUUAAAUUUUAUUAAUAUUGAGUCAAUUUGUUAAAAUAUUUUUAAUAAAUAUUUAUUUUAUUUAUGAAAAUAAAAUUUUUAAAUUCAUUUAAACAAAAUAUUAAGUCAUUAAUUUCAACAUCUAUUGAUUAUAAAAUUGUGAAUUUUAAUUUAAGGAUACGGUAUUUUUUCUGAAAGUAGAUGUCAUGCUUAUGACAUUUAAUGUAAGAUGUCCUGCUUAUGCCACUGAAUGUAAGACUGCAUAUUUUCAUGUUUUAAUUUUUUAUAAAUUUAUUCAAAAAAAACUUAUAAUAUAAUUAUUUUAUAUAGAACCAAUUUCAUAUACAUCGCAUCAUAAUUAAUAAUUAAUAUGUAACCAUGCUGCUUUAAAUAUGUUUCGUAUUUGAGUGGAUUGAGAGAUUUUAAAUUUUAUUUUUUUUAAUUUUUAAUUUUUAUUAAAAAAAAUAUUACAUAUAAUUUUUUUAAAAAAAAAUUCAUGUAUAGUUAGAGUUUAAUCUAUAUUUUAAAUUUUAAAAUUUAAAUUUAAUUAAGAAUGAUAUUGGAUUUUGCUUUGAAAUAUUAACAAUUAAAAGUUUACCAAAAAUUUAAAAUUUUCUAAAAUAGCAAAUCAGAAACGUAUGGUCAAGUUUAACAUAAUUUGAUAAAAAACAGUUAAAAUUUAAUUGUGAUCUUUUUAUAUAUAUAUAAAAAAAAAAAUUGAUGCAAAUUGGCGAAGGGAGGACAAGCUCUGAAGAAACAAAAUUAUGACGGUGUAUUUGGGUUGAAACUAAGAGCAAGGCCUUUUAGAUUUGAGGGGAAAAAGAUAAAAUCAAAGGGUGGUAAACAAUUUUGUUUGGGAAUUUAUUGUUCAUCUAUUUUUUCUUUUUACCAAAUGCAGUUGAUAUUAUAUUUUUCUAAAGCAGUAACACACUCAGUCCAGCUCAAAACACAGUGAGAUAGAGAUCCAACCCAGAUAAUGCAGUCCAGACCAUCAAAAGAUUCUUGGAGUUCCAAGCAAGCAUCACCAAUAAUCCCUGCAACCCCUCGCUCCUAACACCGCCUACAAGCACCAUCAAAAUCAACAAGCAUCGUCAAAGCCGCUAAACUGUUGAAGACCAGAACAACAACACCUAAAGGACCCAUCCACACUAACAAAUAGGCUCAAAAUCAUUGCAUAUCAAGCCAAACAAUCCACAAUCAAUAGUCAGUUUAUAAUUUAUUACAAUAUAAAAAGAAAAAUAGAUAAUAUUUUAAAAUAAUUACAAAAAUGAUGAAUAAAAAAUUAUGAGACAAAUAGAAUAAUUAAUAAAGUAAUUUAUAAUUUUUAUCUACUAUAUAUUAAAAAAUUGGUGUAUUUUAGUCAUAUAUCAAUUUUUUUUCCAAAUAUAGAUAAUAGAUUUUAUAUAUUUACGAGAAAUUAUAUAUUCUUGAAAAUUUUACCCAUUUUUUUUUCUUGAAAAUAAAUGCAGCUAUACAUUCUUCCGUGAAAAUGCUAAAAACAGAAAAAUUUACUGGCUUUGGAGGUAAAUAUUAGAAAUUACUUGCCAUAUUCUUCCUUAUCCUUCCAUUUAUUGUUCAUACUUACAUAUAUAACCUUAAGACCGAGCUAAAUAUACACGCCCCUAAAAUCACUUGUUCGGCGUUUUAAUGAAGCCCAAAUGUGUAGAAUUAUUAACCUUUGUCAAGGUUUUGAGAUCAUAGGCAAUCCAGCACUUGAAUGACUGGGUGUGGUAGAAAUAACCCAAACACUUGCAAUCCUUAGUGCAUUUGCUGCUACAAGCAUUCAGCUUCAUAGGUCCAUCUCCAUUUGUGUAUUUGGAAUUGAAAUGAUCAAUCCCUUCUAGUUUGUCGUAGUGAAAAUCUUUCACUCUACAUGAAGAUAUUUUUGGUGGCCUGCAGUUCUUGCUCCAGCCCAGCAAGCCUUUUGGUGAUGGACAAGCAACACACUGAUCAUACUGGCAUAGCCCAAAGUUUCCGCACCUUUCUGGCAAUUGGCAUUCUGUUUCCCAAGAGUCUUUAGAAAAUAGAGUGUAGGUUACUUGCCAAGCACUCCAAUCUGCAUCGUCUUCAUAAGUGUGUAUCUUAAGGUUUCCAUCUAUUUCCAACCGAAGAUAAGACAAUGAGGUAUCGUAUUUAGGCCUUCUAAGAGUGAGAGUUCCACCAGAAGAGGACUUAGAACCCUGGUAUUCUAAAGAUAAACCUGAGAUAAAUGUUACACGAUUCAAAGGACCCUCUAAUAUACUUAAAAGAUCAGAAAAUGAGAAGUAAAGCAAAGAUUUUGGGGAAUUUGGAGAUUUGUAGUACAUGGCUAAG